CUAAAUGGGGAGAAACAUUGUUUUUAAGAACGUUUUGAAGGGAUCACAACGACCCGGAAGCAGUUCAUUGUGUGUCGACUCUUUAAGUUUAAUUUACAGUUCUCCCAUGUGGAACGUUAUUGUCUUUUUGGAAUUGAUACUAGGGGCUCUUUAGGGGUGUGGCAUAACCAUGCACCCUGUUCCUGUGCAUAUAGCAUUCACAUCAUGAAUAAAUACGAGUCCAGUCCUAUCAUAUGGAACAUAUGGAAUUUGUUAGGGAAAUAUACAUUAUUUAUAGAACUUAAAAGUAAAUCAUAUUUGCGAACUAUAUUUAUCCAGUGUAUAGUUAAAAGCGGUUAUUAGGCUCCAUAGUAUAAAAAGCAGGAUAUCUAAUGUCACAUCAGUCAACAUAUGAAAAAAGUUGUAAGAAAUUAUAAGAAUGAUAGACAGUUAACACAUUCCGAAGGAGCAUCGACAGUUGAAGAAACUGGACGUGCUCCGGAACUCGAUGUUAGGGGAGAUCAUCUUGUAGUAAACGGUGAUGAACCUCUGACAUGGUAAUUCAUAGAUGAUGGACUUUCCAGGUAGGU